rfam:TPA: Bos taurus chromosome 4, whole genome shotgun sequence.
UUCCUGGUGGCUCAGACUGGUAAAGAAUCUGCCUGCAAUGCAGGAGACCCAGGUUCAAUCCCUGGGUGGGGAA